rnacentral:pre_miRNA from 1 species
AAAAGCAUUACAGGGUGAAUCUCUAUUGGCAGGGGACUCUGAUCACUCAAUUUUUUUGUCUUCAUUUUCCUCUGCCAAAGGAGAUUUGCCUAGCAAUUUUUUC